UACGUAGGUGGCAAGCGUUGUCCGGAUUUAUUGGGUUUAAAGGGUGCGUAGGCGGUUCAAUAAGUCAGUGGUGAAAUACGGCAGCUCAACUGUCGAGGUGCCAUUGAUACUGUGGAACUUGAGUACAGACGAGGUAGGCGGAAUUGACGGUGUAGCGGUGAAAUGCUUAGAUAUCGUCAAGAACACCGAUAGCGAAGGCAGCUUGCCAAGCAACAACUGACGCUCAGGCACGAAAGUGCGGGGAUCAAACAGG
rnacentral:rRNA from 1 species